rnacentral:tRNA from 1 species
GCGUCGGUAGUUUAAUGGUAGAACGAGAGACUUCCAAUCUUUCAGCGCGGGUUCGAUUCCCGCUCGGCGCUC